GUCUCUUUGAUUAAUAAAUAUAAAGAGUUGGGCCUGCUCGGUGAUAAUUUUAACAGCUGCGGUAUUAUAACUGUACUAAGGUAGCAUAAUAAUUUGCCUUAUAAAUUAAGGCUAGAAUGAAUGGUUUGACGAAAAUUAAACUGUCUCUAUUUUAUUUAUUAAAAAUUAAUAUUUAUAGUGAUAAAGCUUAAAUUAUUUAAAGGGACGAGAAGACCCUAUUGAGCUUAAUAUUAAAAUGUAUAUGUAUAAUAAUUAAUUUUAUAUUUUAUUAUGUUUACUAAUUUUAAAUUUUGGUUGGGGUGAUCAAGGAAUAAAAUAAUUUUAUAUAUUAACUUCCUUAAAUGUAAAUAAUUAUUUAUUGUUUUAUAUAUAAUAUAAUAAACCAAAUGUUUUGCUUAGAAGUAAGUUACCAUAGGGAUAACAGCGUAAUUUUUUUAGAGAGUUCAUAUUAAAAAAAAAGAUUGCGACCUCGAUGUUGGAUUAAAUUACCUUUAGGUGUAGAGGCUUAAGUAGGUGAAUCUGUUCGAUUU
rnacentral:rRNA from 1 species